rnacentral:rRNA from 1 species
CCUACGGGUGGCAGCAGUGAGGAAUAUUGGUCAAUGGCCGAGAGGCUGAACCAGCCAAGUCGCGUGAGGGAAGACGGCCCUACGGGUUGUAAACCUCUUUUGUCGGGGAGCAAAGCGAGUCACGUGUGACUCAUUGAGAGUACCCGAAGAAAAAGCAUCGGCUAACUCCGUGCCAGCAGCCGCGGUAAUACGGAGGAGCGGAGCGUUAUCCGGAUUUAUUGGGUUUAAAGGGUGCGCAGGCGGAGGUGCAAGUCAGCGGUAAAAUUGCGGGGCUCAACCCCGUACUGCCGUUGAAACUGCAUCCCUUGAGUGCGCGAGAAGUAUGCGGAAUGCGUGGUGUAGCGGUGAAAUGCAUAGAUAUCACGAAGAACUCCGAUUGCGAAGGCAGCAUACCGGCGCGCAACUGACGCUCAUGCACGAAAGCGUGGGUAUCGAACAGGAUUAGAUACCCGGGUAGUC